AUUGAACGCUGGCGGCAGGCCUAACACAUGCAAGUCGAGCGAGCGGCGGACGGGUGAAUAAUGUCUGGGAAACUGCCUGAUGGAGGGGGAUAACUACUGGAAACGGUAGCUAAUACCGCAUACCAUCAGAUGGGCCCAGGUGGGAUUAGAUAGUAGGUGGGGGAACGGCUCACCUAGGCGACGAUCCCUAUCUGGUCGGAGAGGAUGACCAGCCACACUGGAACUAGGACACUGUCCAUACUCCUACGGGAGGCAGCAGUGGGGGAGAUUGCACAAUGGGCGCAAGCCUGAUGCAGCCAUGCCGCUUGUGUGAAGAAGGCCUUCUGGUUGUAAAGCACUUUCAGCGGGGAGGCGUUACCCGCAGAAGAAGCACCGGCUAACUCCGUGCCAGCAGCCGCGGUAAUUC
rnacentral:rRNA from 1 species